AGGAAAGCUACCCAUGCUCACCUUAAACCCCCACAUGGAAGUCUCCUCCCUGACAGGUGCUAUAUGAAAACCCAUUUCAUUUCAACAUGAGUAACAGAAAAGGAUUUUCUGUAAACCCCAUAUAAAUGUACUAUAUGCAAAAAAGAUAGAAAUAAAUAGAAUAAUAUGACAAGAGACAAUGAAAGCAUGUUAGAUAAGGCUACAAAUCAAUUGGAAACUGUAAAAUAUAAACUAAAGGAAAUUAAUAAUGUUAAUUCACCUAUGAAUAGACCAGAAUGAUUCAGAAACAGGAAAACUCAGAAAUAAAGUAAUAAAAAGAAUACUUGCGGAACUUUGGGGGAAAAUUAUUUUAGAAUGGAGCCUAAUUUGGAAGGAACAUAAAAAAAAAUAGGCAAUACAGUAAGUAUAGCAAGAGGAAAACAAAAAGAAUUUAA
rnacentral:lncRNA from 1 species